GAGUUUGAUCUUGGCUCAGGACGAACGCUGGCGGCGUGCUUAACACAUGCAAGUCGAACGGUAAGGCUCCAGCUUGCUGGGGUACACGAGUGGCGAACGGGUGAGUAACACGUGGGUGACCUGCCCUGCACUUCGGGAUAAGCCUGGGAAACUGGGUCUAAUACCGGAUAGGACCGCACCGUGAGGGUGUGGUGGAAAGUUUUUUCGGUGUGGGAUGGGCCCGCGGCCUAUCAGCUUGUUGGUGGGGUAAUGGCCUACCAAGGCGGCGACGGUAGCCGGCCUGAGAGGGUGGACGGCCACAUUGGGACUGAGACACGGCCCAGACUCCUACGGGAGGCAGCAGUGGGGAAUAUUGCACAAUGGGCGGAAGCCUGAUGCAGCGACGCCGCGUGGGGGAUGACGGCCUCGGUUGUAACGUACCUUUCUACC
rnacentral:rRNA from 1 species